rnacentral:rRNA from 1 species
AGUUUCCGGUUGAUCCUGCCGGACCCCACUGCUAUCGAGGUGGGACUAAGCCAUGCUAGUUGAGCGCACAGAACUAUGUCUGUGAGCGGCACACUGCUCAGUAACACGUAGCUAACCUACCCUUAGGACGUGGACAACCCCGAGAAAUUGGGGCUAAUCCGCGAUAGAUGUAUUGUCCUGGAAUGGUAUUUCGUCUAAAGGUAUCCCAUACAUGUUUGGUAUACGCCUAAGGAUGGGGCUGCGGCCGAUCAGGCAGUUGGUGAGGUAAUGGCUCACCAAACCUUUGACCGGUACGGGCCAUGAGAGUGGUAGCCCGGAGAUGGACACUGAGACAAGGGUCCAGGCCCUACGGGGCGCAGCAGGCGCGAAACCUCCUCAAUGCACUUACGUGCGAAGGGGCUACCUCGAGUGCCACCUGAUGAAGGUGGCUUUUCCUAGGUCUAAAAAGCCUUGGGAAUAAGAGGGGGGCAAGACUGGUGUCAGCCGCCGCGGUAACACCAGCCCCUCGAGUGGUGGGGAUGAUUAUUGGGCCUAAAGCGUCCGUAGCCUGCCGUAUAAGUUUCCCGUUAAAUCCAGCGUCUCAAGCGUUGGACUGCGGGAAAUACUGUACGGCUAGAGAGUGGGAGAGGUCAGCGGUAUUCUGGG